AGGUAAACAAUAAUAAUGUAUUUAUCAUACCGACAUGUGGGCCUCACAUGUCACGGCCACACGUAUUGACUCUUGUACCGUCACCGAGAGGCCAACACCCCGUCACAAUGCAUUGUGGCUAUGAGCCCACACGGCCCAAAUCAUAGGUAGAGCCUCUCACAGCCACUUGGCAACUAGCAGGGCCUCACCUGUCACUGGGUAGUUAAUUUCUUCGCCUAUCGGCACUAGUUAGCAAGCUAGUUUUGCAUGGUUAACUCCUUAUUAAUUUUCUUAUAGGAUUUUGCAAGAAAUAGUUCCAGGUGACAUUCUAUCUCUAACCGACACUCAAACCCUGUCAGCCCAGAAUCCCCUGUCCCCGCUACUCCCAAGGCCCUUGCUUAAAUUUGGCAGUUGAGCUAAAGUCAUGGAGGCGCCAUCUUUCCAGCCCCGGCUGGAAAGGUUGCAUAUAACCCGAACAAGCUAGUCAUGUUAAAUCGCUACGGAAUAUGUUUGUGCUAUAAAAUGACAAAAAUAAUAAUAAUCAUGCCUCUUAGCCAAGAAGACACCAGA